rnacentral:rRNA from 1 species
CCUAUGGGUGGCUGCAGUGGGGAAUAUUGGACAAUGGGCGAAAGCCUGAUCCAGCCAUGCCGCGUGUGUGAAGAAGGCCUUCGGGUCGUAAAGCACUUUCAGUGGGGAAGAAAGCCUUGGGGCUAAUACCCUCGAGGAAGGACAUCACCCACAGAAGAAGCACCGGCUAACUCCGUGCCAGCAGCCGCGGUAAUACGGAGGGUGCGAGCGUUAAUCGGAAUUACUGGGCGUAAAGCGCGCGUAGGCGGUCUGAUAAGCCGGUUGUGAAAGCCCCGGGCUCAACCUGGGAACGGCAUCCGGAACUGUCAGGCUAGAGUGCAGGAGAGGAAGGUAGAAUUCCCGGUGUAGCGGUGAAAUGCGUAGAGAUCGGGAGGAAUACCAGUGGCGAAGGCGGCCUUCUGGACUGACACUGACGCUGAGGUGCGAAAGCGUGGGUAGCAAACAGGAUUAGAUACCCCGGUAGUC